GUUGAGUUUGAAGUGCCUGUGGGAGAGGUCUCAAGAAAGCAGUCAGAAAUAGGCACAACCUGGGGAGAAAAGCCUGGUGUGGGGGAAGAGUCACGGGAGAGGCUUGAAACUAGGUGCUCACUGAAGCUGUGGGAGUAGGGAGAUGAGCAGAGGGGAGCAGGCCAGGAACGACGAGGCCCUGCGGGUUCACUGAGAGAAGGAAGGCUCCUUGGGCGUCUAAAUGAACACCCGGCAAAGUAGAACAACCUGCGGCGUGUGUCACAGAAGCCGACGGCAGAGCGUUUCGACAAGGACGAAGUGACAACAAUGCCCAUUGCUACCCAGUGGGUUGAUGUUUGUGGAAGUCACUGGCGAGUUGAACAAGAGCAGCUGGAAGCCAGACUGGAUUGCUUUGAGGAGAGGGAGGCAAAAGAGACAGGAAGAACAUACAUUCUUGUUCCGUCCUUCUGUCCCGCAAAAUAGGCGUGAUUCCUGCCUCACACGUGAGGAAACUAAGGCUCAGAGCAGGUGACUGGCCGAGACCACACAGUUGGUGAACGGCAGAGCCAGGAUUGAAACGUGGUGUGUUUUCUGGCUUCCCAGCGCUGGAUCACAGUGUCAUAAGCGGCCCCACGUCUCCCACUUUGCCACUGACGUUAACCCAGCCGCCCACCCAAUCUGAAUAACUUCUUGGCAAAUUCUGGAAUUGUCGGAGUGGAGGGAGGACAGCAGAAAAACUUGGCGAUCUGUGGCGAGAAAGGCCACACCAUCCAAAACCUGAAAUACAGCUGUUAAUACUAGCUUUCCAUCAAUCUGUUUCUUGGAGCCUGCACGAAGCUCAGUAGGUCCUGUUCCCCAGCUGCAUCAUGCAGGGUCAUUUCAACUGAGGUGACUGCCCAGCAGUGUCUGCACAGCGUCAUUAGGUAUCCUGGGGACAUAAUCUGCUUGAGAUCAAACUGCAGGGAAGUGGGAAGCUUUGGGAUGCUCACACCCCCUUACCACAUCCCCCUCACAGAUGGAGAACUUUCCUCCGAUUAAGGCUGUCUCUGGGGGCCGGCCGAGUGGCCGUGGCCGAGUGGUUAAGUUCACACAUUCCUUCAGUGGCCCAGGGUUUCGCUGAUUCAGAUCCUGGCCACAGACCCAGCACCAUUCAUCAGGCCAUGCUGAGACGCGUCCCACAUAGCACAACCAGAAGAACCUACAACUAGAAUAUACAUCUAUGUACUGGGGGGCUUUGGGGAGAAAAAGAAGAAGAAAAAGAUUGGCAACAGAUGUUAGCUCAGGUGCUAAUCUGGUGAUGCAGAACGGGGUCAGAUCAAAGCCAGCAAGUUCACAGUCACCUGGCUGGGAGCCUCUGCUCGUCCAGCACUCAUGGCUAAAGUGAGGAUGGGUAUCGGUGGGGACUAUCCAAGCUCUUGUUACAGAUGAGAAAACAGAGGCCUGGAGAAAAGUCACUCGCCAGGCAUGAGACCAGGUCUUCCGACUCUUACUUUAGUGCUCUUCUGAUUACAAUAAAAUGCAAUGACUCUUCUUGGAAAGAUUGGGCACUGGAAUAUGUUUUUCACUGAGAAAAUAUUUUCCCCCAAUUUGAAAGGCUUGGUUAUCAUAGUGUUAGAAGUCUCUUUAUUCCCAUCCAUUCCUCCAUCCCUUGAGAAAGUCACUUUGACAGUUUGGUGUACAGAGUACUGAAUCUGAGUGCUCCUGCUUGCCGUAGGGCGCGGGUGCUGUGAAAACAUCACGAGACACAUUUCCACCCCUGUGAGUUUAACCUCGUGGCAUCGACAGUUGCUGACCCCAUCUCUACGUUCAGGUGUGGGUCAUGGCUCUGCUCUUGGCCAGCUGCAUAAACUCAGGCGAGUGAUGUAGCUUCUCAGUGCCACAGUUCCUUUAUCCAUAAAAUGGGAAUAAAUACGUACCUGUCUCAUCAGCGCUAUGUACCUGGCAUGUCGUGAGCAAUUAAUAAAUUGCAGGUGGUUAUUAGUAGUAUUGCAAACCACCCAAGAUCCAGGUACUUACGUGUUUCCCAUGGGUAUUGCUUGUUCGGGGCAGGCCAGCACUUGCACAGUGGCUUGGCCUUGGGUGCACGUCCUGUGGGUGUACUUGAUAGUACAGCUAGGCUGUACUCUACCACACUGUCGGGGGACAGGGUCGUGUGGGGAGAAGAGCACUGGCCCGAGGGAGGAAUCUGGGUCCUGGUCCUGGCUUCACCACCCAUUCUCUGUACGACGUUACUCAAUUGGCUUUCCCUCUCAGAGCCUUCCGUUUCCUCACAGUGACUUGGGGAAACUGGGCCAGAGCACUGGUUCCCUAUCGCAGCUCCAUCGUGGAGCCCUUUGGCUAACGUAUUUUCUUCUAUGGAUCUCAUAUUUUAAAAGAUUUCUAUUAAGUAGAAAAGUUAUAUUUUUUAAUCAAAAUAGGAAACUGAUCAGAUUGAGAAAAACAUAAGGUAAUUAACCAUCUAAAGAGACACAAUGUCAGUCAAAAGAGAAAACUAUCUUUGUCUUGCAGUAAAUUGACAAUUUUUGAGGCUUUUUUUAAUAUGCAAAAUGAUAAGACUACCCCAUAGUACAUGCACAGAGCUCCAGGCUUUGAAUGGAUGGAUUUCAUAAUAUCUGAUCUUCCUUCCAGCUCUGAAAUCCUCUACGUCUUAGAACGUAAUUUACUGUUUUCAGUGAUUACAGAGCUUCACUUUACAACAUAAUGUUGGUCUCACCCUUGAUUUUGUUUGAUGACAACUUGUUGGGCAGGAAUGCAACCCCUCCACAGGGCCUUGUUCUUAGAGGGAAAUAUGAUCUGCUUUAAGUGUGCAGGUGUGUGUUUGUGGUGAAAAGCAGGAACGACAUGCUCGGUUGUGUGGUACCCACUGGGCCCAGAGUCCCAAGGAGAACGGUUCCUGGAGGCUGGGCUUCCUGAGUGGACCCUGAAGACUAAGGAUGUGCUGGGUCCGUUGGAGCUCUGCUCCUGUGCUGGUGGCACGCUGGUCUGGCAGAACUCUCGGAUCCUUCCAGAGCCACUCACAGAGAGGAUGCUCUCCCUAGAUCUCUGCAAAGUAGAGAGGGUAGGUGUGGUCUUCUGUUCACCCAAGAAAACGUGGAGGUUAUCUAACUAGAAUCUGCUUAAUAUGAGCCUCCGUUUAUUAAGGAAUUAAGUUUACUCUUCAUUGUGAAACUUUUCAAACACAAAAAAUUAAACAUAAUAUAUAACAAUCCCCUAACCACCUAGAUUUAAUGAUUAACAUUUUGCCAUGCUUGUUUCAUCUGUUUGUUGUAAAUUCUUCAGUAUAAUCUGAAACUCGUAAGGAUUUAAAAAAUAUAGCUAGAGGGGCCAGCCCAGUGGCGCAGUGGCUAAGGGCACACAUUCCACUUCUGUGGCCGGGGGUUCGCUGGUUCAGAUCCCGGGUGUGGACAUGGUACCACUUGUCAAGCCAUGCUGUGGUAGGCAUCCCACAUAUAAAGUGGAGGAAGGUGAGCACGGAUGUUAGCUCAGCGCCAGGCUUCUUCAGCAAAAAGAGGAGGAUUGGCGGCAGAUGUUAGCUCAGGGCUAAUCUUCCUCUAAAUGGAUAAAUUAAAUAAAUGAAAAAUAUAACUGGAGCCGUCCCCGUGGCUGAGUGGUUGUUUGCGUGCUCUGCUUUGCCGGCCGGGGGUUCCCCAGUUUGGAUCUUGGGCCCCGACUUAUACACCACUCAUCAAGCCACGCUGUGGCAGCGUCCCACAUAGAAGAACUAGAAUGACCUACAACUAGAAUACAGAACUAUGUGCUGGGGCUUUGGGGAGAAAAAAAAAGAGGUUGGCAACAGAUGUUAGCUCGGGGCCAAUCUUCCUCACCAAAAAGAGUUUCACUAAAAAAAUAAAAAAUAAGAAAAAAAUAAGAAAUACAACCAUGUGUACAUAAAUACCAAAUUAACAAUGAUUCUUUUGUAUCAUUGAGAACCUAAUCUAUAUUUAAAUUUUCUUGUUUGUCCAAAAGAAAGAGUCCUUUUACAAUUGAUUUGUUCAAAAGUCUAAACCAAUCAUGGUAACUCUAUUUCCCUGGUGCGUUUGGUUGUUCGAUCUCUCCCAGGUUUCUGUUCUUCUGAACCGUCUCUCUCACCCACCCCUUUUAUUUCCAUGUCAUGAAUUUGUCAGAGAAACGGAGACAUUUGUCUAGUCCAAAGCCCCUCAUUCCUUGUGGUGUCUAAUUUAUUGCUUUAUCAUCUGUGUUUCCUGCAAACUAGUAAUUAAAGUCAGACGUUGAUUUGAUCCAGAUUCAUUAUUUUAGGAAAAACCCUUCAUAGGCUGCAUUGUGUGUUUCCUGUUGCAAAAUAUGUAACUGCUGUUUACUGGGUGCUUUCUAUGUGACAGGCAUUGUGAUACUUUACAAACAUUAUAAUAUCUUU
ensembl:lncRNA